UUCUUUUCUUCUUUUU
rnacentral:sRNA from 1 species